rnacentral:rRNA from 1 species
UACGAAGGGGGCUAGCGUUGCUCGGAAUGACUGGGCGUAAAGGGCGCGUAGGCGGCUUGCACCGUCAGAUGUGAAAUUCCUGGGCUUAACCUGGGGGGCUGCAUUUGAUACGUGUGGGCUUGAGUGCGGAAGAGGGUCGUGGAAUUCCCAGUGUAGAGGUGAAAUUCGUAGAUAUUGGGAAGAACACCGGUGGCGAAGGCGGCGACCUGGUCUGUUCUUGACGCUGAGGCGCGAAAGCUAGGGGAGCAAACGGG